UGACGAGUUUGAUCCUGGCUCAGGAUGAACGCUAGCGGCAGGCUUAACACAUGCAAGUCGAGGGGUAUAGUUCUUCGGAGCUAGAGACCGGCGCACGGGUGCGUAACGCGUAUGCAAUCUACCUUUUACAGGGGAAUAGCCCAGAGAAAUUUGGAUUAAUGCCCCAUAGUAUAUAUCAUUCGCAUGUAUGAUAUAUUAAAGUUCCAACGGUAAAAGAUGAGCAUGCGUCCCAUUAGUUAGUUGGUAAGGUAACGGCUUACCAAGACAAUGAUGGGUAGGGGUCCUGAGAGGGAGAUCCCCCGACACUGGUACUGAGACACGGACCAGACUCCUACGGGAGGCAGCAGUGAGGAAUAUUGGACAAUGGGGCGCAAGCCUGAUCCCAGCCCAUGCCGCGUGCAGGAA
rnacentral:rRNA from 1 species